rnacentral:rRNA from 1 species
GGGGAAUAUUGGACAAUGGGGGAAACCCUGAUCCAGCGACGCCGCGUGAGUGAAGAAGUAUUUCGGUAUGUAAAGCUCUAUCAGCAGGGAAGAAAAUGACGGUACCUGACUAAGAAGCCCCGGCUAACUACGUGCCAGCAGCCGCGGUAAUACGUAGGGGGCAAGCGUUAUCCGGAUUUACUGGGUGUAAAGGGAGCGUAGACGGUGCAGCAAGUCUGAAGUGAAAUCCCGGGGCUCAACCCUGGAACUGCUUUGGAAACUGUUGAACUAGAGUGCAGGAGAGGUAAGUGGAAUUCCUAGUGUAGCGGUGAAAUGCGUAGAUAUUAGGAGGAACACCAGUGGCGAAGGCGGCUUACUGGACUGUAACUGACGUUGAGGCUCGAAAGCGUGGGGAGCAAAC